GCUUAUCACACUUGACUUAUUUCCUUGAGUUUGACCCAGAAUGGCUUAUACUGCAGAAGGACAAUCCUCUUUGAAGAUGUUCCCCUCAAGGGCUCCUCACCACGUCAGAAUACAGAUAUUUCCCACAUAACAUUGUGCAGAUUAAAGUACUGGAGGGAACUUGUCAGAGCAUCUGUAACUGAAGGUGGAGAAGGUAAAAAGGAGUUACAAGAGCUCCCUGUUGCCGCUAUCAUCUCUAAAACUGGUUUGCCUUCAUUAAACAUAUAUGAUAAAAUAGCAUUGUCUCAUUAAGCAUAUGUUAGAUUUUAGUAGGAAAAAUGACUCAGAAACAUGCUGACUUAGGGAAAAUAAGUAAUGAUUUUAAAAUAGCAAUGACUAAUCCCCAAAUUGGAUAAUACAAGUAUGGAUAAUUUAGAAUUGACUAUACAUAGAAAAGAUUUGUGGAGCCUACAAAAAUUAAAAUCAAAUUUAAUUUGGGCAAAAUAAAUCUCAAAAAUAUCCCA
rnacentral:lncRNA from 1 species